rnacentral:rRNA from 1 species
GAUGAACGCUGGCGGCGUGCCUAAUACAUGCAAGUCGAGCGAACGGACGAGAAGCUUGCUUCUCUGAUGUUAGCGGCGGACGGGUGAGUAACACGUGGAUAACCUACCUAUAAGACUGGGAUAACUUCGGGAAACCGGAGCUAAUACCGGAUAAUAUUUUGAACCGCAUGGUUCAAAAGUGAAAGACGGUCUUGCUGUCACUUAUAGAUGGAUCCGCGCUGCAUUAGCUAGUUGGUAAGGUAACGGCUUACCAAGGCAACGAUGCAUAGCCGACCUGAGAGGAGGACCGGCCACACUGGAACUGAGACACGGCCCAGACUCCUACGGGAGGCAGCAGUAGGGAAUCUUCCGCAAUGGGCGCAAGCCUGACGGAGCAACGCCGCGUGAGUGAUGAAGGUCUUCGGGUCGUAAACCUCUGUUAUUAGGGAAGAACAUAUGUGUAAGUAACUGUGCACAUCUUGACGGUACCUAAUCAGAAAGCCACGGCUAACUACGUG